CAAUGGGCGCAAGCCUGAUGCAGCCAUGCCGCGUGUAUGGAAUAAGGGCCUUCGGGUUGUAAAGUACUUUCAGCAGUGAGGAAGGUGGGUAUGUUAAUAGCAUACUCAUUUGACGUUAGCUGCAGAAGAAGCACCGGCUAACUCCGUGCCAGCAGCCGCGGUAAUACGGAGGGUGCGAGCGUUAAUCGGAAUUACUGGGCGUAAAGCGCAUGCAGGUGGUUUGUUAAGUCAGAUGUGAAAGCCCGGGGCUCAACCUCGGAAUUGCAUUUGAAACUGGCAAACUAGAGUACUGUAGAGGGGGGUAGAAUUUCAGGUGUAGCGGUGAAAUGCGUAGAGAUCUGAAGGAAUACCGGUGGCGAAGGCGGCCCCCCUGGACAGAUACUGACACUCAGAUGCGAAAGCGUGGGGAGCAAACAGGAUUAGAUACCCCUGGUAG
rnacentral:rRNA from 1 species